GCAGUCGACGAACUCUGGUAUUGAUUGGUACUUGUAUCAUGAUUUACAUUUGAGUGAGUGGCGAACUGGUGAGUAACACGUGGGAAACUUGCCCAGAAGCGGGGGAUAACACCUGGAAACAGAUGCUAAUACCGCAUAACAACUUGGACCGCAUGGUCCGAGCUUGAAAGAUGGUUUCGGCUAUCACUUCUGGAUAGUCCCGCGGCGCAUUAGCUAGAUGGUGAGGUAACGGCUCACCAUGGCAAUGAUGCGUAGCCGACCUGAGAGGGUAAUCGGCCACAUUGGGACUGAGACACGGCCCAAACUCCUACGGGAGGCAGCAGUAGGGAAUCUUCCACAAUGGACGAAAGUCUGAUGGAGCAACGCCGCGUGAGUGAAGAAGGGUUUCGGCUCGUAAAACUCUGUUGUUAAAGAAGAACAUAUCUGAGAGUAACUGUUCAGGUAUUGACGGUAUUUAACCAGAAAGCCACGGCUAACUACGUGCCAGCAGCCGCGGUAAUACGUAGGUGGCAAGCGUUGUCCGGAUUUAUUGGGCGUAAAGCGAGCGCAGGCGGUUUUUUAAGUCUGAUGUGAAAGCCUUCGGCUCAACCGAAGAAGUGCAUCGGAAACUGGGAAACUUGAGUGCAGAAGAGGACAGUGGAACUCCAUGUGUAGCGGUGAAAUGCGUAGAUAUAUGGAAGAACACCAGUGGCGAAGGCGGCUGUCUGGUCUGUAACUGACGCUGAGGCUCGAAAGUAUGGGUAGCAAACAGGAUUAGAUACCCUGGUAGUCCAUACCGUAAACGAUGAAUGCUAAGUGUUGGAGGGUUUCCGCCCUUCAGUGCUGCAGCUAACGCAUUAAGCAUUCCGCCUGGGGAGUACGACCGCAAGGUUGAAACUCAAAGGAAUUGACGGGGGCCCGCACAAGCGGUGGAAGCAUGUGGGUUUAAUUCGAAGCUA
rnacentral:rRNA from 1 species